rnacentral:rRNA from 1 species
GAAGGACGUUACUAACGACGAUAUGCUUUGGGGAGCUGUAAGUAAGCUGUGAUCCAGAGAUUUCCGAAUGGGGGAACCCAGCACGAGUUAUGUCGUGUUAUCCGCAUGUGAAUACAUAGCAUGUGAGAAGGUAGACCCGGAGAACUGAAGCAUCGUAGUACCCGGAGGAAGAGAAAGAAAAAUCGAUGCCCGGAGUAGCGGCGAGCGAAACGGGAAGAGCCCAAACCAACAAGCUUGCUUGUUGGGGUUGUAGGACACUCUGUACGGAGUUACAAAGGAACAUGUUAGACGAAUAACCUGGAAAGGUUAAUCAGA